CUCUCAUCUAAGGGCUAUUGUGGAUGGAUUUGCUCCUAUUAAAGAAGAGAGUCUUUACUUUGGUUUCUUGGCCGUCCCUGGAGGAGCAGCGUUGGACCUGAGAACCGAAAUCUUGAAUGCUGUGAUACCACGAAUACCUGAUUUAGUCUGUUUGCUAGCUCCAAGCAACACUUUGAAGAGAAGCACCGUUGUCAGUGAAGCUGGGAAACAGUUUAAAAAGCUCCUAACAACUGUUUGCACACUUUUUCCGAAGGUGUUUGUUGGAUUUCCCUCCAAGACUUAACGUGGAUCCUCAGGUUCAGUCUUUUUUACGACAAGAAUUCCACAGAGUAUCGGUGCAAUUGGGUGUGUCAUACAAAUCAGUUGCUGAGCUGUUUCCAAUGAGAAAACUGCACCUGUGGAGCAGAGAUGGGGUACACCUAAGUGACGAUGGGAUUAAAAUCCUAAAUAAAGCGAUAUAUGAGGCAUCACAUGAGCAGAUUCACAAGCCAACUGCAGAGACGGAGGUGAUGCCCACCAUGUCAUCCUCUCCUCCAAAGAUGCUUGAGCAGGUUCCCAAGCCAACUGCUGAAAAAGUCUCAAAGUUGCUUUGUACACCUGAGGUUCCAGUUGUGGCCCCACAAGAUCCCUUUGAAUGGAACAUUGUCGGAUCUCACAAUAAGACCUUUCCAACUACAAGUAAACAAGAAAGCUAUACUUCGCCAAAGAGAGUACUCCAUUUAAAGGUGGAAGAACAAAUGGACUUUUCUGUGGAGCUCAAUCCAAAGUGGUUUGAUGGUGAAAUGCUGGAAAUCUUGGGGGAUGGCAACACACCAACUUUUGGAGAGGCUUCUAUUGCGCCAUUUCAAAAAACAAAGGCUUCUCCAACUUCAAGCCAACAUCAAAGCUGUGCUUCACCAAAGAAAGCACCACAUCUACAGGCUGGUGGAAGAAGAAAUGGAGGAGUUUUUGGUGGAGCUGAAUCCAACUGCACCGUUUCAAAAAACAAAGGGCUGUGACAGAGUAGUGGCUGGUGAGGAAACUGUCACCAAAAACGGUAAGAGAAGUCUUCCUGAUCACACACUAAUUACAAGAGGUUCAUUUCACCAGGGCCAUGACCACUUUGGUUCAAAUAAAUCAAAACCGUGUGCCACCAAUACUGCUAUCGUGACUAAUGCCAUUCACAAUGCAAGAACCUGGUCAACAAAUGAUAUUGAUAGACUUUUGAUAAAAGGUGAUACAAUGUACACUUUCAUGAAGCAGCAUGACAUGAUUAGUGAUGUCAAUGGUAGUGGAUACUUUUUGUCGGGGAAUUACCCGCAAAUUACACAUUGGAUGGAAACGCAUUCACCCUACAAUAUUUAGACACACUUACUGGACAUGUUAACAUCCAAGAAUAUGAUCAGGCUCUUGACAAUGUUGCUAUGCCUCUAGAUAAGGCUUUACAAAGAGCACUCUAUGACAACAACAACGUCUGCCUAAUCACAAUUAUGAACAACACAUGUGCAGUUUUGAAGCAUGAGUCUGGGUUUUCAGUCUUUGAUCCACAUGCACGUGGUGAUGAUGGUGGUCUGGAUAUAAAUGGCUCCAGUAUUCUUGCACACCAUGCCACAGUUGAUUUAUUUAACAUGCACAUUACAAACCUAGUUCAGUCUUUAUUAGGUGAUGAUGAUCUGCAUGAUGCAGACCACUUGUUUGAAGUUACUGGUGUUAAGGUUAUUAGUGAUGGAACAUCUUCUGCUAGGACUGGUGGAAUGGAUACUGACAGUGUAGCAUUGCAUGACAGUUUUGCAAGUAUGGCAAGCCCAGAUGUGCAUGUUGUUUCUUUGGAACCAGGUCAUGUAACUGAUGACUCUGUGAAGAUAGUGUCUCACAGUAAUUGCAACAGCCUCACAUUUAGUCCACUGACAUUGACUGAAAAAAGGAGAAUCUGCACAAAGCUUAACCUUGUCCCAAGUUUUCAGGAAGAGAAGACUGUUACCAGCAUUACUGUAGAUCAACCUGUGCCUUGUGCAGCCACAAGUAUAAAGUCAGAUGGAAAUUAUUUUUUCCUAUGUUUUUAGUGGAUCUGAAGAAAAGCAUAGGUGUCUUCGUUAUGCUAUUGUAAAACAGAUUCUUGCAAAUCCAGAGAUGUACUCAAAAAUAAUUAGACCUCAGUACACAUCUGUGCAACAAUAUGUAACUACUUCAAAAAUGAAGUAUGUGGGAACUUGGGCCACUGAAGUGGAAAUUCAGGCUGCAGCAGAUUUCUUUCAUGUUGACAUACACAUAUAGUGCCGAAAAAUGGUUAAGAUAUACUUCCAGCAAUACAGAUGUCCAUUGCAAGGGACUCUACCUUAAUCAUUACAACAGUUGUCA